AAAGGCAGGGAUGAGGUAAGUGUACGCUUCCAAAAGCUUGUGAGUUGGGGAAUCCAUGAAGAGAGACUGGGGAGGUGGUUUUGUUGAAAGAACAACCAGCACCUCAAUUCCUGGGGCUUCUGGGACACCAGAUCUAUGGUCCAGGAGAUGGAGAGAGGUGAGCACUAUGAGGAUUUCACCUACAACCCAGAGAUGGAGGAUGAAUGUUCCUAGCAAUUUCAAGUAAGUAGGAGAAGAAAGCAAAGGUUCUCUGAGAGCCCAUGACUCUUCUUAAGAAGACUUAGUAAUAAUAACAACAAUAGUAAUAAUAAUAUUGAUCAUUCAUCAAGCACUUGCCAAGAGUCAGGUGCUGAGCAACUGACAAAGCAAACGCCCAUAUUAAUCCUACUUAAGGUUCACAAUUACCCUUUGGUUCAGGCACUAUUAUUUUUUCCAUUUUCCAAAGGAGCAAAUUAAGACUCAGAGAUAUUAAAUGACAGAGCCGGGUUCUAACACAGGCCAAGCUGCAUGCAACACCUAUGCUUUCAGUUUCUAUACUCCAUCAAUUUGCUUGUCUUGGCUUCUGGACCUUCACAAAGCCACUCUCUCAGUCUGUACUUGUUAGGGUCCUCCAGAGAAAUAGAACCAAUAUAUACAUAUAUGUACUCCGCAACUUAGGAUGGGGUUACAUCCCGAUAAAUGUAUCACAAUGUCAAAAAAAUUGUAAGUUGAACCAUUAUAAGUCAAGAAUCCUCUGUACACACACACACACACACACACAUACAGAGAAUGAGAGAGAGAGCGAGAGAGAGACAGAGAGAGAGAGAGAGAGAGAGAGAGAUUGGCUCAAAGAAUUAUGUAGUUUGAGAAUUCCCAAGAUCUACAGCUUGGAAGCUGAAGACCCAGGAAAGCCAAUGUGUAUAUCCAGUCUUAGUCUGAAGACCUGAGAACCAGAAGAACCAAUGGUGUAAGUCCCAGUCUGAGGGCAGCAGAAGACCAAUGUUCCAGCUCAAGAAGUCAGGCAGGAGGAUUUCCCUUUUACUCAGCCUUUCUGUUCUACCUAGGUCUCUAAUUGCUUGGAUGAGCACCCCACCCCCACACUAGGGAGGGCAAUAUUCUUUAUACAGUCUGAUUCAAAUAUUAAUCUCAUCCAGAAAUAUAGACAUACCCAGAAUAAUGUUUGGCCAAAAGUCUGAGAUCCCCGUGGCCCAGUCAACUUGACACAUAAAGUUAACCAUCACACAGUCGUCUUACAAAAUAUACACUGGAAGGCAGAUAUACUGUGAUAUGCUCCCCCUAUAGUUCACUGAAAUACAGCAGAUAUUUGUUGCCCAUAGCAGAGAAAUGCAAUCUGCUAAUCAAAUACAAAACUUUGUUUUUCUCAAUCUGAAUUUAUCAGUGUUUGAGGGAGUCUCAUUUAACUGAAAGCUUCCAAGAAUUUAAAAUGAGGCAGAUUGCUCAUUCUGACACUUGGAUUCAUGUUUAGUUUUCUCUGUCCACUGCAUGCUUGCAUAGGCAGCAAGAGGUCUCACCAUCACUCUUCAUGCUGGAUGAUGAUCUGCUGAUAAGGCCUCACAUUUCAUCCCCAUUUUCCCAGUGUCAAUAGCCCCUCAAUCUCCCAACCUUAAGAGAUGUGAAAAAGAAUUAUACUUUAUAGAUGCCUCUGUGGACAGCAAGGAAGAAAGGGGUAUACCCAGCUGGGAGAUCUUGGUGCUGCCUUAGAAACACCUGAUGUGGCUUCAUGAGGUGACUUCUGUUUUGGAGGUGAAGUGGAAGACAGCAGCAGUGGAAAAUGAUGAUGGGUAGAGAUAUGUAGGGCCAAUGAGUUGGAGACAUUUUAGAGUAUGCCAUAACUGAGAAACUAUGGAUAUAGAGGGAAACUAACCAAUUUUUAAAGGAAGAUUUCCAAUUAAAAUCAGUGUGAACACCCAACCCAUUACCAUGUUGUCUAAAUAAACUUCACUGGUUUCUGUUUUAGC
rnacentral:lncRNA from 10 species